rnacentral:rRNA from 1 species
GGGGAAUUUUCCGCAAUGGGCGCAAGCCUGACGGAGCAAGACCGCGUGAGGGAAGAAGGUCUGUGGAUUGUAAACCUCUUUUGAUGGGGAAGAAGACAGUGACGGUACCCAUCGAAUCAGCCUCGGCUAACUCCGUGCCAGCAGCCGCGGUAAUACGGAGGAGGCAAGCGUUAUCCGGAAUUAUUGGGCGUAAAGAGUCCGUAGGUGGGUAACCAAGUCAGUUGUUAAAUAGUGAAGCUUAACUUCAUAGAGGCGACUGAAACUGGUUGUCUAGAGUGUGGUAGGGGUAGAGGGAAUUUCCAGUGUAGCGGUGAAAUGCGUAGAUAUUGGAAAGAACACCGGUGGCGAAAGCGCUCUACUGGGCCUGCACUGACACUGAGGGACGAAAGCUAGGGGAGCGAAAGGGAUUAGAUACCCCUG